rnacentral:rRNA from 1 species
CUGCCAAGGGCAUGGCUGGGUAGCUAUGUACGGAAUGGAUAAGCGCUGAAAGCAUCUAAGCGCGAAGCCAACUUCAAGAUAAGAUUUCCCACCGCAAGGGUAAGACCCCAGAAAGACUAACUGGUUGAUAGGUCGAAGGUGUAGGUGCAGCAAUGUAUUUAGCUUAUCGAUACUAAUAGAUCGAGGACUUGACCAAU